rnacentral:rRNA from 1 species
UACAGAGGUCUCGAGCGUUAAUCGGAGUCACUGGGCUUAAAGGGUGCGUAGGCGGACUCGCAAGUGCUUUGUGAAAUCCCACGGCUCAACCGUGGAAUUGCUUGGCAGACUGCGGGUCUUGAGGUUGGUAGGGGCCGCCGGAACUCUAGGUGGAGCGGUGAAAUGCGUAGAUAUCUGGAGGAACACCGGUGGCGAAGGCGGCAUCCUGGACCGGUAUUGACGCUGAGGCGCGAAAGCUAGGGGAGCAAACGGG